AGUGUGAUAGCUGGGUCAAAUGUUGGUUCCAUUCCAAUUUUUCUAGGGAAUCUCCACACUACUUUCUAUAGUGGUUGUACCAAUUUGGAUUCCCACGAGCAAU
rnacentral:pre_miRNA from 1 species